GGAAGGAAAUAAAAUGAGGGCUAGUGUAAAAUUUUUAAAUAGAAUAAGGAUACAUUUUCCUCCCUUAGAUGCCACCACCCAACCCCCCUUUGUUUCCAUUUUCGAUUCCGGCCAGCAACCUUCCUGCCACCAUCUUAGACCCACCAGAUCUCUACCCAUUCAACUCCAUUUUUCUCUCCCUCCGUCGGAAUCCUGCAAGGCUUGAGAACUCCAUCUCAAUAAUAGCUUCACAUCACCACCGAAAAGACCACCAGUUCAACACCCAAACAACCUCCAAAACCCCACCAGCCGCCGCGUGAAACAAAACCCCUUUGUUUUCACGAGCUCCGAGCUCCGGUGAACUCAUGGGAAACCAAACCGACCAAACAACCACCAAAAAGUAAACAAAACCCCAUCGUCAUUCCUAUUUAUUCAUCCAACAAAACCCCGACCCAUUUUCCCCUUACUCGAACCAGUUCCCUGCCCCUCUUUUUUUUUCCGCAAGUUAGCUGUGAGCCCCAAACCAGCUGAUUUUCAAGACCCAUGUGGGUUGUUAUGCCAUCUCCAACAAGCUCCAUGCUCCAACUUCAAUUUAACCGGAUAACCCAUUGAAAUGAAAUCAUUAUUUGUCCGAAGUCGCAAGAGACAAGAGGAUUAGCGAAAUUCGAGUCCUUGUAUUUCACAAGACAUUAUUAUCAAGUCAAAAUGAUAAAUCAGGGGAGUAUUUGUCUAUGAGAUCACAUCUAUUUAUUUUUAUUAUUAUUUGACAUGAUGUUCCUACUCUCACAUAUUUCUCAUAUUUUUGUAGAAAUAUCGUCCCCGACAUCAGUCGAGGAUGAUCAUAACAAUGUCUGGAUCUCGUGAAAAUUGGGAAGAGACAAAGGUCCAAGAAAACAUCCAAAAAGAGUACAACAAACAUUACUAUAGAAAUUCGUAGGAUACAUUCAACAGAUAGUAUAAAUAUUGACGAUUAAGAGGCUAUAAAACAUAUUGGUGCGGGAAAAAAAAUCAACUUCAUGACUUCAAAAUUUUAGUGGCACUAGACCUAGAAAUUUCUUUGAGUUGUCUAAAUCUUUAAGUUAUUAUAUGCCUUAUCAGACGAACUACGCGUACCUGAUUCUCAUUUUAGUGAGAUAUGUAGGCAAUCCUUCUUGGGUUCGAUAUUAUCUUCUCCAAAAAUUAAAAAAAAAUAGUUUGUGCAUA